rnacentral:tRNA from 1 species
GUGGGUAAAUCUCAGUGGUAGAGCGUGUGCUUAGCAUGCAUGAGGUUCUGGGUUCAAUCCCCAGUAUCUCCA